GAAUUUUGCGCAAUGGGCGAAAGCCUGACGCAGCAACGCCGCGUGACCGAUGAAGCUUUUCGGAGUGUAAAGGUCUGUCGUUAGGGAAGAAAUACUUGAAUGUUAAUAGGUUUUCAGUCUGACGGUACCUGACAAGAAAGCACCGGCUAACUUCGUGCCAGCCGCCGCGGUAAUACGAGGGGUGCAAGCGUUGUCCGGAAUCAUUGGGCGUAAAGGGUACGUAGGCGUCCAGAUAAGUUGAAUGUUAAAUCCUUCAGCUCAACUGAAGAACUGCAUUCAAAACUGUCUGGAUAGAGUUUGAGAGAGGAAAGCGGAAUUCCUGGUGUAGCGGUGACAUGCGUAGAUAUCAGGAGGAACACCAAUGGCGAAGGCAGCUUUCUGGUUCAAAACUGACGCUGAGGUACGAAAGCGUGGGGAGCAAACAGGAUUAGAUACCCUGGUAGUCCACGCCGUAAACGAUGAGCACUAGAUGUUGGGGGAUUCGACCCCUUCGAUGUCUUAGCUAACGCGAUAAGUGCUCCGCCUGGGGACUACGACCGCAAGGUUGAAACUCAAAGGAAUUGAC
rnacentral:rRNA from 1 species